rnacentral:lncRNA from 1 species
ACAGAGAGGUAUCCCAGGCCGAGGGAAUCACCUGGGCAAAAGCCGGGGGGUGGGAGGGAGUGUGGAAUGUUUGUGUACCAGCAGGUCCUAGUUCAGGAGAGGGAAGAGUGGGUGUUGUGAGUCUGUGGGGGACCUGGGUGUCCAGGCAUGAGGUCAAAGAGAUAAUAGGCAUGGACCUCAUAGUCCAAGUGGGGCUCUAGCCGUGGGGAGCCACUGAGGGGUUAAGCAGGCAGAAGCCCCGCCAGCUCCUGAUUGGGUUUCAUCAGCCCAGCCUGUGGUUCCGCAGCAGCCUACCCAGCUGGGGCCUUUCUCCUGGCUCCCUUGGCCCAGGGAGCUCCCACUCAUUAUUCCACUGGGCAGAAGAACCAGCCCUUCUCAGCUCCUGGAAAGUGACUCUAUUGCUCCACUGGUCCUGGGACUUCCGCUUCAAGGAUAGCUGAACACAGCCUGUUUCUAGAUGUUGUAGUUCUUUGACUCAAGGAUUUACUGGAUGGACAGUGACCUCAAAGGAGGGAAAGGAGCAUUUGGAACAGCCAGAAGAGAAGGCCCUAGAUUAAGCCUGGGCCAGUGACAGAGCCUCGCCGUCUGGGGAUGGACGUUUCCCCAGGAAGGUAUUGUCCGGACACUGGAAGACAUCAUCGAAUGAAAAGGUGGAAGCAGGCAGAUCCUGAUGUGUAGAGAGCCACAGAAAGAGCCAGAGCCAUCAGCCUGGGAAGAGAAAGGAAGCCAUGCCAGCUGCUCGUAGGAAAUGUGCCACUGAAAUGAAAGUUACAGCUCACCUUCCCAGUGAUAUUAGUGACAGCUGGGCAGCACAACUUCUCUGCAGCCUUCCGUCACCACAGCUCAUCUUGAAGCUCUGACUGCAUGUUGCCAGUGUUUAAAAUCAGAGUUUGGGGUGAGUGAAUGUGGCAGGGGAAACCCUCCCUUGAGUUUUGAUUAUACCUAGGAUUAUUGGAUAUUAAGUUCGGAGAAAUAAAGACAUUCAAGAACAUAAAUGGGAGUUCCCG